AAUGAACGCUGGCGGCAGGCUUAACACAUGCAAGUCGAGCGAGCGGCGGACGGGUGAGUAAUGUCUGGGAAACUGCCUGAUGGAGGGGGAUAACUACUGGAAACGGUAGCUAAUACCGCAUACCAUCAGAUGUGCCCAGAUGGGAUUAGCUAGGAGGUGGGGUAAUGGCUCACCUGGGCGACGAUCCCUAACUGGUCUGAGAGGAGGCCCAGCCACCUGAGAACUGAGACCAGGUCCAAACUCCUACGGGAGGCAGCAGUUGGGAAUAUUGCACAUUGGGCGCAAGCCUGAUGCAGCCAUGCCGCGUGUGUGAAGAAGGCCUUCGGGUUGUAAAGCACUUUCAGCGAGGAGGCGUUACUCGCAGAAGAAGCACCGGCUAACUCCGUGCCAGCAGCCGCGGUAAUAC
rnacentral:rRNA from 1 species